rnacentral:lncRNA from 1 species
UUCAUCUAGUUUCAAAAAAUUGUAUUAUAUGAGAAUUAGAAAAAUAUGGUACAUAUUACUAAAAAAUCAAAACACAAUCAUAUUACUUUUUCAUUGUUGCAGCCAUUGAGACUCUUCUCGUGACAAAUGAAUGUCGAUCUAACCAUCUUAAUUUGGUUUAUCCAUAUGUUCUUAAUUUGAUGUUAGUGUCCAUUCCUGAGUUUCCCUGUCAAGAUCAUUCGAGUUCCAACUCUAACUGUGCAUGCCAUUACCUUUGCUUUUUUGUUGCUUUGAAAAACAACAUAGAGUUUAAGGUAUUUUCUACUUACUAACUUGAGUAACUUCUUCUCUUCUUUCAACUUCUGUCAAGCUUUCUUUCGUUAGAUCUUAAGGCAUCCUUUCAGCAUUAACCUCUAGUUGUUGAUUUCAUAGAAACUAAAAAUUA